rnacentral:lncRNA from 1 species
UUAGUACUGCAUUUUGUGCUGAGAUCGUUGAAUCUGCUGAUGCUUACUUAUUCGCUGGACCUAUUUACAAUGAUUAUAGCUCUGUUGGGUACUCUUUGCUUCUUAAGAAAGAGAAGGCGAUUAUUGUGCAGCCUGAUCGGGUGAUCAUUGGUAAUGGGCCUGCAUUUGGGUGUGUUUUGAUGAAAGACUUCCUUAGAGAGCUUGCCAAGAGGCUUAAGCACAAUAAUACUGCUUUUGAGAAUUACCAUAGGAUUUUUGUUCCUGAGGGACAACCUUUGAAGGCAGCACCUAAAGAGCCUUUGAGGGUCAAUGUUUUGUUCCAACAUAUACAGAAGAUGCUUUCUGGUGAAACUGCCGUGAUUGCUGAAACUGGGGAUUCUUGGUUUAACUGCCAGAAGCUGAAGUUGCCAUCAGGAUGUGGGUGAGUGUUAGAGAAUAAACUUUUACGUUAAUCUUCAACUUAGACUAUUAAUAAAAAUUCCAAGAUGGGGUUUUUUAGUUACAUACUGAACUAAAAACUUUUGCGCAGGUAUGAAUUCCAAAUGCAGUAUGGAUCAAUUGGGUGGUCAGUUGGCGCUACUCUUGGAUAUGCACAGGCUGUUCCAGAGAAACGUGUCAUCGCUUGCAUUGGUGAUGGUAGUUUUCAGGUACUUACUGUCAUUUUUGGCCAGUAAUAAUAUUUUUUGCGUGGAAAAACACAUGCACUAAUAAAUUGAUUCACAUGUGUAUAAUGUUCUUGUUUUGGGUACAUCUUUAUAAUGUUGGUGGUGAUUGGUUCAAUAGGUGACCGCACAAGAUGUGUCCACAAUGCUGCGAUGUGGGCAGAAGACCAUAAUUUUCCUCAUAAACAAUGGUGGGUACACCAUUGAAGUAGAGAUUCAUGAUGGACCGUACAAUGUGAUCAAGAAUUGGAACUAUACUGCCUUGGUUGAUGCAAUUCAUAAUGGUGAAGGCAAGUGCUGGACAACCAAGGUGAGUCAAAUUCAAACCCCGUACAUUGCUUGAAUGAAUCAAAAGAAGUUGCUGACAUUGAUAAAAUUUCUUGAUAUAAUACUAAAAAAAUUGAUAUUGUUUUAGGUAUUUUGUGAGGAAGAGCUCAUUGAAGCAAUUGAGACGGCAACAGGAGCGAAGAAGGACUGCUUAUGCUUCAUUGAAGUGAUCGUUCACAAGGAUGAUACUAGCAAAGAACUGUUGGAGUGGGGCUCCAGGGUUUCUGCUGCGAAUAGCCGACCCCCAAAUCCUCAGUAAAUUCUUGGUGCUGCCUUCAGCACAUGAUGCUUUAUGGUUUGACCUAUUUAAGUUUGAUGAAAAUUUAUGGUAUGAAAGCCGAGUUUUUCAACAUUUUUCCAAAAUUUGUGGAGUGCUUGCUUAUAUUUGUGUACAUUCACUUUUAAUGUCGUUUCCGGUAAUGAAUGCAAUGUUCUGGUUUUAUAUCUCUUUUGUCUUUUGUUGACAACUUGGUGAGUAGUGUAAGGUACUAUUUUUCAUAAUAAAGGCGGAAAGGCAAUAGUUACAAUCGAAUCAUGAAUGAAAAAAAUUUCUAAUUGCCGAUUCUUAUUUUAUUAAAUAUAUUAAAUUAAAAUUUUGUUAUAGUAUAACAAGUUUCAUAUUAUUACACAUAAAUUUAAAGGCAUAUAUGUUUGAAAAAAAUAUAUGAUAAUUUAAAUCAUUAACUUAUUUAGAUUCUAAAACUAUUAUUUUAGAAAUUUUGAAUUUUAAAAAUUAUUUUGAAUUUUUUUUGUAAUUUUUGUUGAGAGUAGGAUGAGUAAAAUUCAAUUCGAUUGAAAAAUUCGAUAGAAAAUUUAAAUUUUGAAUUAAAUAGUUUGAGUUAUUUGAGUUAAUCAAGUUAUUCAUAUCAACUUGAAUAAAAAAAUUAAGCUUUUCAGUUUAACUCAAAAAUAAAUUACACAAUUUGAGUUAUCAGAAAAUUCGAAUAAGAAAAGGCAAAACUACGUUGUUUGAUAAAUGUUUACUUUUUUUUUUUUAAAGUUAAAAGUUAAAAUCAUUAAGUUAAAAUGCAAAACUACAUCAUUACUAGUUAUAUAAUCGGUCUAAGUAAACGCAACAUUGAAUAUAAAUAAUAGGAUUAGUUAACUUGACUUAAUUCAAAAAUUUUUUUACUCGAUUCGAUUCAACUCGAUCGAAUACUUACCCCUAGUUAAGAUAUAUCAAUUUGCUCAUUUUUAAAAUUGUUAGUGAUCAAAGAGAUAUUUACAUCAAUAUUUUAUUCGAAUUAUGCAAGUUACUCAAAUUAUAAAAUUCAACUUAAUUUAAAAUCAAAACUCGAAUCGAGUUUAUUCGAAUAACUCAAAAUUUAAAUUUUUUUAUUUUUUAAAUUAAAUCGAGUUUUGUUUGGUUUUAGUGGCAAGAAUGCAAGGUAUGCUUAACAUUCCUAUUGAAAUUUGUGAUAGAAUGAACGCAAAAAUGGGAAAGAUUUUCUUUAAAGUUAAUCCUAACAUGUAAAGGUAUCAAGAGGGUUUUCGUGUUUAGAAGCAGAUAAAUUACUUCCCCCUUAAAAAAGAUACAUGGAUGAUAGGGAAAGAUUAGAAAAGCUAUGGGUUGUAUGAAAAUAGUAUGUGUUCUGAAACACUCUGUCGAAACCAUUUUUUCGAGUUAGGAAAAAUGGGGAUCGACUUUUAAAACCGAGUGUGGAGUCGCCACCAAUCUUUUGUUUAGGUGUGAUUGGAUCACCUAAUAAAACAUUUUAAAACAAUUCUGGUCCACAAAAAUUUAAAAAUGGGUUCGGGAGCCAAUUACGUAUGAGGAAGGAUUAGCACCCUCACUACGCCCAAAAAUUGGUACCAGGUUGAUUAAAUGCUGUCCUCAUAUCUAAAAUUUUUGAAAAGAUUUUUUGAAGUUUAAUGCCUUUUAAAACAUUUGAGUAGUUUGAAUUAGUUAUCAAAAUUCUCUCAUUUCAAAGGUAUGCCGUAUCAUAUCCAGCACAAUUAAACACGAUCCUUUAUACCUUUAAAAAUACGAUUGACUUUUGACCUUCAAAAAGCUCAUAUUGUAACACCCCCUACCCGUAUUCCGAGCCUAGAAUAGGGUACGAGGCAUUACUGAACUUAAUAUGAUCAAUCAUGUAAAAAAAUCAGCCAUAAAAUUUCUUCUAAAUUAAAAACUUUCAUACAUAUGUUUAAUGUCCCUUAUAUGGGCCUACGAGGCCCAAAACAUACAUUCAGGGUGGUUCGGGACCAAACCGUAAACAUAUGAAACUUUUGCAACACUUAGAAAAUUUUCACACUUUGGAGAGUCACACGCUCAUGUUUUCAACCCGUGUAACUCUCUGUUUAUAACUUCAUCACCCUUGUCAGUCAUACAUUUCAUAUAAAUAACAAGAAACGUGUAUGGGCUUAAUUCUCAUUAAAUUUCUCAUAUAUAUACACAAUUUCACGUUAUGUAAUCAUACAACAUAUAUCAGCCAUAUCUCUUUAAUCUAAAUAUAAUUUCAUAACAACUUAUCUUGAUUUCAUACUAUUUCAUAUUUAAGCUUAAAUAACCAAAGUAUUUGAAAUAUCAUCUUUAUGCAAAUAGUACACAUGAGGUAUAUAAUUCUAUAAUUAUGAAUAAACACAUUUAUCAAACAUUUUCCAUAUUCAUAUAUCAAUGUCUCAUAUCUCCAUAUAUCAAUAACCGUCAUUUUCAUGAAUUCCGAGUUCAAUUUCAUAAUUAUUUGUCUCGUGUUCAAUUUAUUCCAUAUCGAAAUUUUUUUCAUUAAAACAUUUGAAUUAUCAAUACAUAUGGACAGUACAUUCAAGAUGAACAAUUAUAUAAUCACAAAUGAAUUCAUUUAUCAACCAAGUUCUAUACUCGUAUCUUAUCAACUCGUACUUCCAUGUAUCACAUAAUUCCAUGUAACACUUACCAAACUUUGUCAAAUUAGUGAACGUCUUACAGAAUUGAGUACUUCGUUUUCUUGAUGCCAUAGUUCAACUAUGGUCUUACACAUCUUCACAUAAUGAUGCCAUAGCCCAGCUAUGGUCUUACACAUAUUCAUAUAUCGAUGCCAUAGCCCAGCUAUGGUCUUACACGAAUCACAUAUCUCACUGAUGCCAUAUCCCAGAUAUGGUCUUAUACAGUAGCAUAUAUCAUACCGAUGCCAUAUCCCAGAUAUGGUCUUAUACGGAAAUCACUUGUCACUUGUCUCGUAGCCGGAGCUACCACUUUUCACUUAUCAGGUAGCCGGAGCUACCACUUUUCACUGAUCAGGUAGCAAAAGCUACCACUUUUCACUGAUCAGGUUGCUGAAGCUACCACUUUUCACUUGUCAUUUGUCAUUGAUCAGAUAAGUGUAGCCGAAGCUAUCACUUAUCACUUUCACUUUUCCUUGAUCAGAUAAGUGUAGCCGAAGCUAUCACUUAUCACUUGUUGCCAUGUUCCAACCAUGGUCUUUUCCUUCAAUUCAUCUUGUCACUGAACUGAAAUGCUCAAUUUGAUCAUUUAUUCAAUUUUCAUGCUUUUACAUUAUUCACGAUUUUAUCAUCAAUACAUAUGAAAUAACACAUCAUGAAAUUCAUAAAAUUAACAAAUAAUCACUAAAAUUUUAGCCAUGUAAACUCACAAGUUCAAUUUUUGUAUCAUAACGAUAAUCAUAAUUUCAUAAUAAAUAUUCCAAAUAAAUCAUUAUAUCAUUUCUAAUUCAACACUUACGAUUAUAAUCGGGCAUAUGAUCAAUUUAUACACGAGUCAUUCAUAUAUAUAUGUAUAUUUUUCCUCCUCCUCCUCUCCAUCCACAUCCUUAGUAUAAACAACACACUUGUAGGUAACAUUAUCCAUAAUUUUCAUUAUCUACUUAUGUGAAUAUUCAAGCUGUCCAUCUGUGUCAUAGUCACUAAAUUAUUUUUAUCUUGAGCUACAGAACUCCAAAUUAAGAUCCAUAAAUUUUCCCAGAAACUAGACUCAUAUUUAUUCUUACCAUAAAAAAUUCAUAAUUUUUGGUUGGGGCAAUUAAUACAGUUUAUUCAUUGAAGUCUCCCCUGUUCUGCUGUCUGACAGUUCCGACCCUUCUUCACUAAAAAUUAGUUAUCUUCUCGUACAGGAUUCGAAUGAUGUCCUAGUUUGUUUCUCUUGAAAAUAGACUCAUUCAGGAUUCUAAACAUAUAAUUUUAAUCUCAUAAUUAUUUUUAUCCAAUUUUUUAUGAUUUUACAAAGUCAGAACAGGGGAACCCGAAAUCAUUCUGACCUUGUCUCACAAAAGUUAUUGUAUCUCAUGAUUUACAAUUUCAUUGCUUACAUAAUUUCUUUUAUAAGAAACUAAACUCAAUAAGUUUUAAUUUCAUAUUUUAUUAAUCCUAUAAUUCAAUUUCUAAAAUUUUUGGUGAUUUUUCAAAGUUAAACUACUGCUGCUGUCCAAAACAGUUUUAGUGCAAAAUGUUGAUUUCCAUUUUACCCCAAAUUUCUCAAUUCAUACAAUUCAGUCCUUACUCAAUUAACCCCUAAAUUAAGAUAAUUUUCUCAAUUAAUACUUUUUAUAGACAUUAUAAGUUAUUUCAUAACUAUUGAAAUUCAUAAUUUUCACAUAAAACUCUAACUUCAAACUCUUUUACAAUUAGGUCCCAAACAUUCACUUUCUAUUCAAUUCUUUCAAUAAAAUCAGCAUAUAAACAAUUUAAAGCUCUAAUUCCAUGCCAAAUCAUCAUAUACUUCCAGCACAUAUUCAUAGAAACUUUCAAUGUCUUUCAGAGAAUCAAAAACUAAUGAAUUCAACAAGUGGACCUAGUUGUAAAAGUCACAAAAACACAAAAAUUUCAAGGAGAAAGCAAGAAUUAAACUUACAUGAAGAUAGAGUAUGAAAACCAGCUUGAACCCUCCUCCAUGGCUGUUUUUUAGCUGAUGAAUAUGAAGAGAAAUGAAGAGAAUUCUAGAUAUUCCAAUUUAGUCCCAUUUUUAUUUAGCUAAUUUUGGCAAUUUUCCAAUUUUGCCCUUAUUUCACCCAUUUCUUGAUUUUUCUCAGUUAUUUCCGCCCAAAAUAUCUCCUUUGGGCUUAUUUGCACUUUAGGUCCUUCCUCAUUUGACAAUUGAGCUAUUUAAUCCUUUUAGCAACUUUUACACCCUUUUCAAUUUAGUCCUUUUUAUUUAAUUAACCGCCCAAACGUCAAAAUUUUUUGACUAAAUUUUAUUACUAUCUCACCAACACUCCAUAAAUAUUUCUAAAAAUAUUUAUGGCUCGAUUUAUGAAGUCGAGGUCUCGAUACCUCAUUCUCGACCCAAUUUACCUAAUUAAUUUUAUUAAAUCACCAAAUUCACUAAUUCAAAAAUGCUUUUAUAUUCACAUUUGACUCAUAGGUAUUAAUUUAUUAAAUUUUCAAUUCACCCGUCGGAUUUAGUGAUCUCAAAUCUCUAUUCUCGAUACCACUGAAAAUUAGGCUGUUACACAUAUGCUAAAAUUAUAAAAGGAUAUCCAAAUAUUUAGUUCGACGAAAAAUCAUACCCAGCACAAUAGGGCACGAUUUCCCGAAUUCCCCAAAUAUUGAAAAUUGCCUUAUUUUGGAAUCUUUGAAUGAUAAAGAAAAUUGGAAAUUAGCUCAAAACGCAUUUAUUUUUCUUGAAAUAACAACGAGACAACUAAUAUCAACCAAAAUAUUGAAAUUUGAAUCACGAUGCAACAAUAUAGAAAUAAUCAAAGUUUCAAACAUGGAUUACUAUACGAAAUAUUAUACGAGUAAACAAAAAGAACAAAUUAACAUAAUUUAAAUAAUAGUGCAAAGGGCUAAUAAUCAAUAUAAAAACAAUAAUACAUGAAAUAAUAUGAAAACUAAAGCGACACAUAGCACACAAAACAAUUUAGAAACAAUUUGAAAACUAUUAAAUAUAUGAAAACUUACAAAAUGAACAACACAUGAUUGGGUUUGAAAUGAUGCACAUAUAUUAAAUAAAACUAAGAAUAUGUAAAUGAGUAUGAAAAUAAAUAUUGUGAAAGAAGCCAUUUGGAGCUAAUAACAUGCAAGAAUAUUUUAAAAACGAAACAUAUAUAUUUAAAGAUGUUAAUGUACAUACAAUAAUAAAAAUCAAUAAAGUACUAUAUAAUGAAAAUAUAAUAUAAUAACAGAGAAUAAACAAUAUACAUGAAAGAAGAACACACCAAUAUACAAUGAAACUACAUAUACAUGAAAGAAUCUUAAAUAAUAAAGAAAUAAUAAUAUAUGUAUUUUUAAAGAAUAAGUUAUGUACAUAAUAAAUUUGAAAGGAAAUACAAGUAGAAAUUAUAUAAAAUAUCAUGGGAUUAAAAUAUAAAUUAUAAGAUUAAAUUAACUUUAUCAUAAGCUAUAUACGUAACAUAUUUUAACAACAUAACUAUAUAGACAAAUAGAUUUCUUUUUAAGAAAAAAAAUUAUAUAUUUAAAAUAACAUGAUCAAAUAUAUGCACCAAGUAUGUGAAUAAUAGUUAUUUAAAUGAUACAUAAAAUAUGUGGAUUUUCCUUAAAAUAAUCAAAAAAACAUAUAUAACAAAAUACAGGGAUAGGUUUAAAAGAAAUCACAUGUAUAAAAUAAUAUAAAAUUAAUAAUAUACAUGACAUUCUAUCAUGAAUCAUAUAUAUAUAAUAAUAUACAAAAACAUUAAGAAAAAUAUUAUACAAAAUGUUAAAGUGACAUGAUAUAAAAAAAUUUACAAUAAUGAUUUUAAAAAACAAAGUAAAAUUAUUAAAGUAGCUAGAAAUAUAAAAAUAAGUAAUCAAGAAUUAAAAAUGUAUGUUAAGUGGAUUUUUAAAAUAAUGAUGAAUUAUGCAAAAUAAAAAAACUCAAUCAAAAUAAUAUAUAUGUGCAAAUAUAUAAAAAGAUUUAAACUAAAUAUUAUACAAAAUGUCAAAAUAAUAUGAUAUAUAAAAAAGAACUUCAAAAUAAUUACACAAAUAAAAACAAAGCAAAAUUAUUAAAAAGCUCAACACAUGUAUAAAAAUAUUAAAUGAAUUUUAAAAUAAUGAAUUAUACAAAUAGAAAACUCAAUUAAAAUAGAAUUAAAAUAGAAGGGAUAAUUUACAAAUAAAAAAAAACUAUUGAAAUAGAAAUAAUGACUAAAGCGCAACAUACAUGAAUAUUCAGGUAUCAAAACUGAAAAUAUUCCAGGUCUUGAAACACUGUGUUUAGGUGCGGACUGAAUUGCAAAGACACGCAAAUUCUAGGAAAAUUUUGAAAUAAAAUAAAACAUAAAUACAGAUCAAUUAAAAGCCUGCCCAAAGGUGAAGGAUCAGUUGCGUAAUUUGACCAUUCGAAGUGCAAAAGUGUGGGUCCAUACAGCACCGUUUCAAAUUCAACACAAAAUCAAGCUAAAAAGAACCUAAAGUCAAAACAGUUGCUUUAACAAAAUCAAAAGAAACAAAAAAAAAAAACCAAAACCCAUCCUUAUUCAUUCGGCUAAACUAGAGGCAUUACUCUACCACCCCUUCGCCUCCAUAUCUUCAAAUCUGAUCCCUGAAUCCUCAUCAAAGCUUCGAUUUCAAUGAAACAAUCAAGGAUUCAAAGGUUCCUUCUACAACAGAUUUGUCUCCCUUUCCCCUUAUAGAUUUAUUUUUUUCAUACAAUAGAUAAAGAAUGAUGAAAUAGAAAUGAAAAUCAAGGAAGAACACGAUCUAAAAUCACCUUAAAACUAAUUUCAAAUUGAUUUUUUUUCAGUAUCCAUGUGUAUUUCUGUGGGAAAAAAAUGAUCCCCUUUACAUCGUUUUUUCUGGCUUUUUAUAGCCAAAUGAAAAAAUAAUAAUAAUAUUAAUCAUAAUAAAAAAUACAAGCAAUUUUCCCUUAGAUCUCCUUGCCGUCAAUCUGUUGUGGUUGUUAUUUUGUUGCAGGCACGAACAGAGCCAGCUGGAUGAUGGGGUACGUGGCAACGGCGAAUGAGGUGCACGUGGGGCUGGCACGGAGGUAGCAGCGGUGCCGGAGGCUGUUGAAAGUUGCUGCGGCGCAAAGGAUGAUGGUAGGGUCUUUUAGAAAUCUUAGAUUUUGGGCCAAUUUGUGUUUGGGUUUAUUUGGGCUUUGAUUUAGUUGUUGAGUUGUUAUAAAAUGGACUAUGGACACUUAUUAUUUUUGAGGUUUUUUAUUUUUGUUUUAUUUUUAAUUUUUAUUCUGGUUUUGGUAUGAUAUAAGCCCGGGCAGAUUUGGGCUUAUACAGCUGCCCUUCUUUGCUUGUUGUCGUGUAACGAGAAUAGAGGAAAGACUUCAAAUAGGGCCAAUUUUACCCGAUUUUGAUAAAUCUUGACUAUAACUUUAGGGAAAUAGGGCUGGUGACUCAAAUCUGCUCCAUUGCCAAUACAUGGAGAUAAGAUUCGCCAUCUUCAAUCUGCUCCGCAACUGAUUUAGGGAAAUAGAUCUUCAAUCUUCAGUCUGCUUCCUUGCUACCUCAGAAAGAUAAGUCUAAAAUUGCAGACCUGCUCUCUUGCAACCUCAGAAAGAUAAGGUUAGUGGUAAAAUUUGCUAUAUUAUCGAUACAUGGAGAUAAGAUUCACCAUCUUCGAUCUGCCCCACAACUGCUUAGAGAAAUAGAUCUUCAAUCUUCAAUUUGCUUUCUUGCUACCUUAGCAAGAUAAGACUGCUCUCUUGCUACCUUAGGGAGAUAAGGCUGAUAAAAUUUGCUCCAUUGCCAAUACAUGGAGAUAAGAUUCACUAUCUUUAAUCUGCUUCGCUGCAACUUCAGGGAGAUAAGAUCUUCAAUUUUCAAUCUGCUUUUUUGCUACCCUAGAAAGAUAAGACUCAUUCUUCAACCUGCUCUCUUGCUACCUCAGAGAGAUAAGGCUGAUGGUUUAAAUCUACUCCAUUGCCAAUAUAUGGAGAUAAGAUUCACCAUCUGCAAUUUGCUCUGCUGCAACUUCAGGGAAAUAAAUCUUGGGGCUUAAAUCUACUCCAUAGCCGAUACACGGAGAUAAGAUUCGCCUCUUUCGAUCUAAUCCGCUUCUGUUUAGGGAAAUAAGAUCUUCAAUCUUUAGUCUGCUUCCUUGCUACCUUAGGAAGAUAAUACUACAAUCGCCAACCUGUUCUCUUGCUACCUCAGACAAAUAAGGUCAAUAGCUAAAAUCUGCUCCAUCGCCAAUACAUGGAGAUAAGAUUCGCCAUCCUCGAUCUGUUCCGUUACUGCUUAGGGAGAUAAGAUAUUCAAUCUUCAGUCUGCUUCCUUACUACCUCAGGAAGAUAAGACUAUCAUCUUCAACCUGUUCUCUUGCUACCUCAGAGAGAUAAGGUCAAUGGCUAAAAUCUGCUCCAUUGUCGAUACAUGGAGAUAAGAUUCGCCAUCUUCGAUUUGUUCCGCUACUGCUUAGGGAGAUAAGAUCUUUCAAUCUUCAGUCUGCUUUCUUGCUACUUCAGAAAGAUAAGACUAUACCUUGAACCUGCUCCACUGUAACUUCAGAGAGAUAAGGCUGGUGACUUAAAUCCGCUCCAUUGCCUGUAUAUGGAGAUAAGAUUCGUUGUCUUUGGUCUGUUUCACUAUUGCUUAGGGAAAUAAGACCUGCAAUCCUCAGUCUACCCCACUGCAACCUUAAGGAGAUAAGACUUGUCUAUUGAGCCUGCUCCACUGCAAUUUCAGGGAGAUAAGGUUUGUAAUCUUCGAUCUAUUCUACUGCAAUUUCAGAGAUAUAAGAUCUAAUUUCACCGAUGUUACUACACCGUCCUCUCGGACCUGUACCGUAGACUCAGUUUCAUGUAUCAUGAUUAUGCCAAAUAAUUAGGAUGUUAUGAUCAAAAUGAACGAAAUGCUCCUAACUAGAUGUGAUGCUUAUGUCAAAUAAUUAGGAUGCUAUGAUCAAAAUGAACCAAAUACUCCUAACUAGAUGUGAUGCUGAUGUCAAAUAAUUAGGAUGCUAUGAUUGAAAUGAAUCAAAUGCUCCUAACUAGAUGUGUUAUGAAUGAUAUAUGAAUGCAAAGAUGAAAAUGAUCUUUUUUAAAUGAUCUUUUCUUUUUUUUUUCUUUUUCUUUUUCUUGGUAAAAAAUGCUUAAGGCAUCAUUGUUUGUUGUUCACUAGAGCAUUAUCACUGAUUUAUUAUGCUGCCAUCUUGUUCAGCUGGUAUUCUUGACAGAAAACCCAAAGAAACAAUCACAUUCUGCUCAACAAGCUUGCCCCAUAUUUCAAAGUCCCUUACACUGUAGUCUUUUGUUAUUUUUAAUUUUUAUUCUGGUUUUGGUAUGAUAUAAGCCCGGGCAGAUUUGGGCCUAUACACACUCGAUUGUUCAUCUUAUUCGGACAAAAGACGACAGUGGCUUGCAUGAUGAUAUUUCAUUCACAUACAGAUGUCGUUGUCAUGCAAAAGAACAAUUUCGGCUUUUUUACGCAAGUAUCUAUCUGCUGUGUAAAAUAUUCUAUAAGAAACAUGUUAACAUGGCUACUGUUUGGGUGUAUGGUGGGAAGAAUCCUGCAAAUUAAAAUAUUUUUAUUUUUUUUACCUUCUCAAUUGCUAUCCAAAGGCCUUACUACAUGGACACGUGUCCACUGCUUCUUCUCCUUUUGUGUCGAAAACUCAUAUUUAUUAUUAUUUGUUUUUUUUUUCCUAGCGGAGGUUAAACGACGCAGGUUGGUUAUAUCCAAGGGUAUCUUUGCUGACAGAUGGCAUCCAUUUAGGCAUCAAACACCAAUUGGUUUAGGACUUGGUAAAAUGCAUGUGAAUAAUGUGGCAGAUGGAGACAACUGUUGACCGUUCAACAAAUAGCCAUGGGAAAGUUUAGCGAAGAUUUACAAAUGAAACGAAGCAAAAUAACGAUGGGAGGAGCCGUUGAUUUAACCAACAACUUGAUUUACAAAUGAAGCCACCAACGGUGCUCGAUAGGUCACGUGAUAUCACAUCAUGUGAUUCGAGUAAACUGACCUGAGAUUGGGUCAAAUUUAAAGGGCUUGAAUGCAAGAUGAGGACGUUUAAACUGCAUGCAAUGUUUUGCAUGUUGUCUACGAUGCUUAAAACGUCAAAAUGACAUGUCCAUUUAUUUAUUACAGUUUUAAUGUUAUCUUGUUUAUUACAUGGUUAUUAUGUGUGUUAACUAUGUCCUAGUUUAUUACAUCUAUUAAAUGUGUCUUAAGCAUGUUUAAUGAGUCUUAAAAGUGUGUUAAAAUUCUGUUAAAGGUUAUCACAGCUUUGUGUUUGUGUUAAAUGUGUCCUAAUGUUUGUUUAAUCAUGUGUCUUAAGAGAAGAUCAAUGGCCGGCCUAAUUAAAGCUUAAGAAGGUUGCUCGUUUUUGCCAAAAAGAGUCAAUGGUGUUCACAUUAUGUGGCUGUUUGGAUUUGCAAAGGCAUCCAUUAUGUUACAUUGAAAGUGACCAUUCGGUAAACCCAAAGUGAUUUAUUGCACUACUUAAGAUGGGAACUGAAUGAAGCGAUGGAGAAUCUUAGAAGCUGACUAUUGGACAUUUCAUGCUCCAUUAAAGGCCACCGUCCAUCAUAAUAGUUGAUUGUGACUAUUAGAGCUUGCUUAAUCCUUAAGCAUGCAUGAGCGAAUUUAUGAAGCUAAUAUUGGUUAUUCGGUUGAGGAGAAGACAUUAAUCUAUUUUAAUUGUUCAUGUACUUCAUUUAUGGUUGAACAUGACCACUCAUCUACUAGGUGUCUUAUAUAUAUUUCGUUUAAGUGAUUGUUGAAGGGUUAGACGUCUUAUGAUAUAAACAUAUUUGAGUUAAUUUUUUUUGUUUUUUAAGAACUGUUUAAACUUAUCAAGAAUUCGUUCUUGUGGCAUUCUCAAACUGAACUUAUCUUUUUGUUAACCAUUCCAAAUUGUUGCAAUUAUCCUUAUAUCUUUGGUUCUUAUCUUAAUAUAAAUAGUAAGUCAAGGUUCUAUCCAUUUUUUAACUUUUCGAUUUUAAACAACUUUAUAGAAUUCAGGUCGUAUUUAUAUAUAACAUCAAUUUUUUUCUAGUUCGUUUAAAUUCGAGAAUUAUAUCUAAAAUUUAUCAUUAAUUUACCUUCUCUUUCAAUUUCAUCCAAAUCUAGUAUAAGUAAUUAAAUCGUGAAACUACUAGUAACCGAGUUCACGUGAAUAGGUUUUCUUUCUGGCAACGGUUGCUCGAUCCAGCCAUUGCCACGUAGCUAACGGGGCAGUCAAGUACAACCGGCUCAUCUAGGUGUCGCUUCACACCGUCAUCCGGGAAAGCUUCAAUCUUUAUCAGGACUUGGUUUUCCAUUUCCAAUAUCAAUCAUGCAUAAAUGCGUUUCAAAGCUGUGUUCUGCAAUGACAACUGUAAAAUGUUGUUUUUCCAUUUUCUCACCUUUUUUUUUCUAAAAUUCUAUGAUUUUUUACUAUAUAGAAAUUAUUUCAUUGAGUUCCUUUUGUUUUGAUGAUACUUUUUCAUGGAUCGUCGUAAUUUCAGCUUUAUCGGUUGGGUUUUUGGGAGGCUUGUACUGCUUUCUUUUAGUUAACCUCUUCUGGAACUAUACUGCUUUGGUUGAUGCAAUUCAUAAUGGUGAAGGCAAGUGCUGGACAACCAUGAUGAGUCAAAAUUCAAACCCCGUACAUUGCUCGAAUGAAUCAAAUGAAGUUCCUGACAUUGAUAAAUUUACUUGAUAUAAUACUAAAAAAAAUUGAUAUUGUUUUAGGCAUUUUGUAAUGGCCUAAAUUCAAGGUUAUCGGAACAGUAGUUUCGUAACCACAAAUCUGAUUUAAAGAGAAAUUUAUUUCAAUAUUUUUACAUGAAAAUUAAUAUGAUAGGAAAAUCGUAUGAAAAUAUUGAUAGAAAAAUUUUACCGAUUUAGUGGUUAGUUAGAAAAAGAAAUUAUUGAAGAAAUUGGGUAAAAACAAGAUAUCGGGAUCUCUAUCUUGUAAAACCGAGUCAAAAAUAAUUUUAUAAAUAUUUAUGAAAUGUUAUUAGUGUGGUAUUAAAAUUUUGUUAGGAAAUUUUAAUGUUUGGGUAGUCAAUUAAAUAAAAAGGACUAAAUUAUAAUAGGUGUAAAAGUUGCUAGAAUGAUUAAAUAGCUUAAGAGUCUAAUGAGAAAGGAUUUAAAAGGUAAUUAGACCCAAAAGUUAUUUAGGCUGGACGGCAAGGGUAUGAAAUCAGCAGAAAAAUUGAUAAAUUAAAGGUAAAAUUGGAAUAUUGCAAAAUUAAUUAAAUAAAGCUAGGACUAAAUAGGAAAUAUCUAGAUUUCUCUUUAUUUCUCUUCAAUUCCAGCAGUUAAAAAUGCCAUAGGAGGGUUCUAUAAGCUGGUAUUUCAUAAUUUUUUCACCAAGUGAGUUAAUACUUGCCUUUUUCUUGUAAUUUUUGUGUUUCUAAGACUUUUACAACUAGGUCCUACUAUUAAAUUCAUUAGUUUUUGAUUUCAUGGACGAAAUUGAAAGUCAUCAUGGUUGAGUGCUGUAAGUUUAUGAUGAAAUAGAAUAAAAUUAAAGCUUUAAUUUGUUUAUGAGAUGAUUUUAUUAGGUAAUUUCUAUAGAAAUUGAUUUUUAGGACCUAAUUGUGAAAAUUCUUGGAAUUAAAGUCUAUUGCUGAAAUUCUGAUUCCUAAAGGUUUUAAACUAGUUUAAGGUGAUAGAAAAAAAUAUUAAUUGAGAAAAAUCAGUUCAAUUGAGAGGGUAAUUGAGUAGGGACGAAUUUAUCAUUUAUUAAAAGCUUAGGGGAAAAAUGGUAAUAAACAACUUGCACAAAAACAGUUUGGACAGCAGCAGUAGACUAACUUUGAAAAAUCACCAUAAAUUUUAGAAAUCGAAUUAGAAGAUGAAAAAAUAUGGAAUUAAAGCUUAUUGAGUCUAGUUUCUCAUAGAAGAAAUAGUGUAAGCAAUGGAUUUGUAAAUUUUGAGAUAUAAUGAAUUUUGUUAGACAAUGUCAGAAUGAAUUCGGGUUCCCCUGUUCUGACUUUGAAAAAUCAUGAAAAUUUUAAUAAAAACAAUUAGGGGCUUAAAUUUAUAUGUAUAGAAUCCUUAAUGAGUUUAUUUUUAAGAGAAACAAACUAGAACAUCAUUUGAAUUCUGUAUGAAGAGAUAAUUAAUUUUUAGUGAAGAAGGGUCAGAACUGUCGACAGCAGAACAGGGGUGACUUUAAAGAAUAAACUGUACUGAUUGGCUAAACAAAAAAUUCUAAAAAUUUUAUAGUAGGAAGAUAUGUGAGUCUAGUUUCGGGGAAAAUUAUCAGAUCCUAAUUUGGAGUUCUGUAUCGCAAGCUAAAAAUAAUUUAGUGACUAUGACUCAAGUAGACAGCUUUGAAUGAACUAUAAAUAAUAGUUGAAUUAUAGAGAAUGUUGCAUAUGAACAUGAAAUGUAUUAAAUUGAUAAUUAAAUUUAUUUAUUUAGAUCCAGAAGAUUCAAAUACGAAGCUAGAUCGAGGAAAGGAAAAAGUUCGGGAUUAGUAGAUUUUUUUUGUUUGCAAAUAAGUAUCAAGGUAAGUUCAUGUAACUUGAAUUAUAUCCUUAAAUGCUUAAGAUUGUAUUUUAUUGAUGUGAAUAUGAUUUGAAUGUUCAUUGUAUGAAAAUUAAUGAAACAUUGAUAUAUUUGAUAAAAUGGGAAGAAAUCCCGGUUGAAUGAAAGGAAAAUUCGAUGGAUCUCUGAAAAGGAAUUGACGGUAAAAAGGAUCUAGCCCGGACGGGUGAUCCUAUCUUGAUAUGGCCCUCCCGAAGAAUAUGUGUAAAAUGGAUUUAACCCGGACGGGUAAUCCGAAUUAGGGUCUGAAUUUAGCCUGGACUGGUAAUCCCGCUGCAAGGUUGAGGUUCGCGGGAGUGUGCUCUCUGAAAUGGAUAUGUGCGCACAUGAAUAUGAAUUGACGGACCCGGAAUUGUACACUAAAAGUGUACCUCUGAAAAAUCCAUCGAAAUUCCGAUAAAUUCAACGGGAUAAAUAUGAAAAAAUAACAAGGAAAUGGAAAUCAUGGUAUUGAUGAGCUCAUCAAUCAUAGUAUAUAUUAUUGGUACAUGGAAAUUAUUGUACUACCUUGAAUGUUGAGUUUGUGCAUAUUAGGGUAAUAAUGCAUUGAAUGGAUAUAGGAAUGUUUAUUGUAUUGUAUUGAAAAUAUUAGGUAAGUAUAAUUCUUGUUACAUGAGCUUACUAAGUACAAAGUGCUUACCCCGUUUCCUUUUUCCCUGUUUUGUAGUGUCAAGAGCUCGGAGGUCGGAUUUGGUCGGAGACACAUCACACUAUCAACCUCAGGACUUCGGUAUAUAAAGAAACUUUAUUUUGGAAAUCAAUGGCAUUUAUAAGCUAAUAAAGUAAAUGAUUCUGUGAAAUGAAUGUAAAGUUAGCCAUUGGUAUGGUUAACAAACCUGGUUUUGGGUAUGUGAUGACGCUAUUUUAUAAAUAUGCAUGAAUUUAUCUUGAAAAUAUGUUGAAUUGGAUUGGUUGAUUUGGAUUGGUCUCGAUAUAAUAUUGCAGGGAAGGUUAGAUAUCUGUAAAGGGAUUAUAUUGAAUUUUCCUAAAAAAUAAUAAUAAUAAUAAAUUCGUAAACUCUGGUAAUACCUCGUAUCCUAUUCCAGCAAUGAAUACGGGUAGGGAGUAUUACACAUUUUGUGAGAAAGAGCUCAUUGAAGCAACAGGAGCGAAGGAGGACUGCUUAUGCUUCAUUGAAGUGAUCGUUCACAAGGAUGAUACUAGCAAAGAGCUGUUGGAGUGGGGCUGAAUAGCCGACCCCUAAUCCUCAGUAAAUUCUUGGCGCUGCCUUCAGCACAUGGUGCUUUAUGCUUUGACCAAUUUAAGUUGAUGAAAAUUUAUGGUAUGAAAGCUGAGUUUUUCAACAUUUUUCCAAAAUUUGCGAGUGCUUGCUUAUAUUUGUGUACAUCACUUUCAACGUCCUUUCCAGUAAUGGAUGCUAUGUAUUAAUUUUUUAUCUCUUUUGUCUUUUGUGGAAGGUACCAUUUGGCAUGAUAAAGACGGAAAGGCAAUAGGUACAAGUAUGCGAUGUAUGGCUAUUGAAAUUUGUUAUAGGGGAAGAUUUUCUUUAAAGCUAAUCCGAACAUGUAAAGGUGUCAAGAGGCUUUUCUUGUUUAGAAGCACAUAAAAAUUUUCCCCCUUAAAAAGAUACAUGUAUGAUAGGGAAUGAUAUUAGAAAAGCUAUGGGUUGUAUGAAAAAAGUAUGUGUUCCAAAACACUAGAUUUUUGCAUCUUAUUCGGACAAAAAAGGAACAGUGGCUUGCAUGAUGAUAUUUAAUUCAUAUACAGAUGUCGUUGUCAUGCAAAAGAACAAUUUCCCAACAGAAAAAUAUCCGUAGACUUGACAUUUACAGCAUAUCUAUAAGAAAUACGCUAACAUGGCUACAGUUUUUGGUGUAUGGCGAGAGGAGAAGAAUCCUGCAAAUUAAAAUAUUUUUAUUUUUUGUCAAUAAUGCUCUUUACCUUCUCUAUUGGGGUUUUUUACCGAAUAAAUACCCAAAAAAAACACAAAAAUAGUAUCAGAAAAAUAUUAUGUACCAAAAUGGUACACUGGGGUGGUGACGCCUAUGUAGGCAUGACCAUCCCAAUUCUGACAAAAAAUUAAAAAAUAAAAAAAGCUAUUAAAAAACAAAAAAAUUGUUAAAAAAAACAUUUUUCCUAUUAUUAUUUUCUCUUCUCUUUCUUCUACCUUCUUUCUCUCUAUUCUCUGCUUCUCUUUUUCUUUCUUCUUUUUCCCUCACCGGUGCCCCCCUCUCCUUCUCCUUCUCCUUCUCUUUUUUUUUCUUUUUUCUCUUCUUCUCUUUGCUUCUUACUUCACCUGAGCUGCUGUUGAACUUGAGGACCUUAAAAUAGUCCCCAAACAGAAAAAACGAAAACAAAUAAAACGGAGGUAUGCAAUCUUGGUGUCGCCUAUGGCACCUCCACCUUCAGUGUCGCCUUUGCCAGAGGCCCCACCGGUGCCGCCUCUGACAUAGGCGGCACCACCCAUGAUAUACCAUUUUGGUAAAUAGUAUUUUCUCUAUAUUAUUUUCGUAUUUUUCUUUUUUUUUUUUGUACUAUUUUGGAAAAAAACCCUCUCUAUUGCUAUCCAAAGGCCAUAGGCCUUCCUACUUGGACACGUGUCCACUGCUUCUUUCCCUUUUGUGUCGAAAACUCUUAUUUAUCAUUACUUCUAAGGAAAAAUUUACCCACCAUAGAUUUUGGGUUACUCAUCAUGAAGAUUUUAUUUUAUUUUUACCUUUCUUCCUCGAAAUGAACUCAAAAAGAAGUUAAACCCAUAACUUCCGAUGAUCAAAUCUUUAACUCACAAAACACAGAAAAAAGCUACUUUAAGGAUUUAGGGUUUUGUGCAUUUCAACAUCAGUAUUAUGGGCUAAGAAAAAAUGGAGGGAUUACAGAAUAUGGUUUGUUCCUUCUCAAAGGACACAAACUCAAGAUCCCCUUCUUUCUUCUCAAGGAAAUCCUCUACAGUCCUCGUGGCGGCAACGGCGGUGGAGCAGUGCAGACGAUUCUUUCGGCGAUACCAUUCGUAUUUGUGAACAAGCCUCCCAAGCAAGUUAUCUUGUUGUGGAGGUGUUCAAAACUUGCUUUAUCGCCGGAAUAAUCGUCGGCUGCUCCCUCAAAUGCUGUGUAUGGUGUUGGGCUUCAAGGUUCUCAAGCGAUUAAAAGACGAUUAGUGCAACGUUAUUAACCCUUUCAAAUCCAGUUUGGUUUCAUAUUAUGAAAAUGGGUAACUAGUUCAAACCCUCUCUAUUUCUCUAUUACUAGUUCUGAAUAUAUAAUAACUAGUUUAUAUAAUUUUUUAAAAUCUUCCUCCAGAUUCAAGAAAUCAAAGCUUAAACUUUAACGUCAAAAUUAAAUCAAAACUCUCGUUAACGAAGAGUUAUUAUUAUUAUUAUUAUUUACAAUGACAUAAAAUAAUUGGUAGAAAAUUAGAAAAAGAUUAUGAAGUACAAGGUAAAAAAAAUUCAAAUCUUCAUAAAUAGUAAAAUUAUUUUAUGAAACCUUUUUCUUUAUCAAUUAAAAUUAACAUAUGAUGUAAAAAAAAUGUAUUUACUUUUAAUUAGUAACAACAAUGAAUGUUAUAAUAAAGAUGAUUAAUAAACAAUUUUUUCUCAUAAAUAAAGAUUAAGUUGUAAUUAGUCAUCACUUUUUUAGAAAACUAACCUUAUAAUGUUAAAAAUUUACGAAAAUGACCCAAAUACUGAACUAGGAAGAAAUAAUAUUUAAAGAUGAUAAGAAGUAUGAAAAUUUAAAUGAAAAAAGUUGAUGUAUUAAUAAAUUUUAAAAAUGAAAAAAUGUUAUUAAUGACUGGAAAAAUUUGCUUGUUAGUGGAAAAUUGAAAAAAAAUGAAUAAAAUUUUUUUUUAUGGGCUUGUGAGGCAUCAGUCCUUUAAAAAAAAUUUUUUGGUCCUCCGCUAAGCCACGUUGAAAGUAUUUUGAAAUGUAAAAGAGUUUUUAUUUAUUUAUUAAAUUUAAGUUUGUAUUAAAAUAUUUUUUUAUUGUGUUUUAUUAGAUUUAAGUUUUUAAUAAAGGUAUUUAGAUUUUUUAAGAAAAACUUUUCAAACUUUCUUUCUUUCUUUCUUCUACUCAUUCAUUACAGGCGUCUCUCUCUUUCCAGUUUGCAGAUCUAUUUUAUAGAUAUCUUUGUUGUGGGUGCAUGUUGUUCGUUAAAACUCCACCAGUUACUAGUAGUUUUUCUUAGAAAGCGGGUAACUCUUCAUUAACUUCUUAAUUUAUUUUUGGUUUGAUAUUUCGGAAUAAUAAAUAAUUUCACAUGUCGAUUUGGACUUGUGUUAUAUUAAAUUUUAUAUGUUUUUUUGUUUGUUUUUCAUUGUUUAAUAAGUCUUCAGUUUUAGAAGUUUUUGUCCACUCUUGUAGCACGUUCUUUAGUCUUGCUUAUGCAUGUAAUUUUAGUUUUGUAAGUGAUUUUAUGGAUGAUUUUGUUGUCAUUCUCUCUAGUUUGGUGAAUGAUCAAUUCUUUUGUCGAUUUUUUCUCACCGCUCUAGACCAUCCGGGGCUCAUUUCAUUAUCGUAUUAAGUGCUUGCAAUCACUUCAGAUAUGUCGUGCUUGAGUUGUGACAAAGUCAAUUGUCAACGUGUCAUAAUAUUAUAUUGAUAUUGAGGCUAAAGUCUUUGUUGUGUUGAUGGAGCUUAUCCUUUACCAUCUACGACGUAUUUUUGCUAUUUUUUGGAUAAUGAAUUAAUGAAUCUAGCUUUCAAAAAAGUUUGUAUUAAAUAUAUGAUUAGUUUGUUUUAUUAAUGUUUUUCUGGUAUCUUAUAUCAGUUUUUUUCGUAUUUAAGGGGAAGGGUAUUUAUUUUGUUGUGUUUUGUUAGGUUUAAGUUUGUAUUAAAGGUGCCGAUUGAGUAUUAGCUCAAUUGGCAUAGGAUAACGUGGGUUUAAGUACGCUGAAGCGCGUUAUCGUCCUAUUUAUUGGUUGAGAGGGGCUACAGGUAGUUUUAGGCAUUAUUAUAAAAAAUAGCAUAUAUGAUCAAAAUCUAUAAUGAGAUUGUUCAAAAAAAAGUUUGUAUUAAAUGUAUGAUUAAUUUGUUUUAUUAAUGUUUUUGUGGUAUCUUAUAUUAGAUUUUCGUAUUUAAGGGAAAUGUUAUUUUUUGUUGUUGUGUUUUAUUAGGUUUAAGUUUGUAUUAAAGGUAUGAUUAAUUUGUUUGAUUAAUGUUUUUUAAGUAUCUUAUAUCGGUUUUUUGUAUUUAAGGCAUAAGCAUAUUUUUUAUAAGUUAUUUGGGUUUAUUUAAUGUUUGGUUAUUUGAGUUUAUUAAUAUAAUUGAUAUGCUAUAUUAAAUUAUUUAUUAUUUUAAAAUAAUGUUUAACAAUAUUUUAAUUAAUAAAUGUGACAAAAAUUAGAAUGAGUUCACGUAUUAGAUUAGGCGAUCACACGGUACGAAUGAUAAAUGAGACGUUAAAAAAAUUAAUUAUAUCCGAUUGAGAAGUGGAAAUGCUAAAUUCACGGAAUUAUUUUUUAGUUGAUCAAUUUUUUUUAAUUGAUAGGAUGAGUAUCACGUUUUGAGGGCACGUAGCCAUGCACCAAGCUACCAUCUAGGCGACCGUAUAAUGCCAUACUUGGAAAUGGUAGGAUUUGGUUAGUGGGUUUAAUUAAGAUGUUUGAGUUGCGGUUUGACGUAGUAUCCGCAUUAAUUGAGCGGUGGCAGCCGGAGACUCACACAUUCCAUUUACUGUGUGGUAAGUGCACCAUCACACUUGAGGACAUCGCACUACAACUCAAGCUACUAGUGGAUGGUUAUGCGAUCACUGGUUUCAAUAAAGUGGUCGAACCUGUGGCCUUGUGCGACAGUUUGCUUGGUCGAUCGUCAGAUGAUGGGAAGAAUAAAUUUACUAGUUUUGAAUUUUGGUUGGUUAAAACAAAAUUUCAAAAACGUAUUGAGCAAUGCUACGGAGCUGGAGCUUAUUUGCGCUGCUCGAGCAUUUAUUAUGCAGUUGGUAGGGUAUACUAAUGCCGAACGCGAACAGUAAUAAAGUCUAAAUUAAGUACUUGCCCCUAUUGUCAGAUUUACGCAUCGCUCGAGAGUACAAUUGAGCGUCAACAGUAUUGGCAACAUUGUAUCGUGAGCUAUGUCAGGCUACAAAGCACGAUAUGCAAGAAAUAAGUGGUUGUCUAAUACUGCUGCAAUCAUGAGCGCCGUAUAGGAUGCCGUUUUUGGUAUCAGUGGGUCACUAACCACCAAUGUGACUGCUUGUAAAUAGGUAAGAAAAUGUCAAUAAUAACCCAACCAACAAUUAAAUUUUUUUACACAUUUAUUUGUUAACAAUUUUCCUUUGUUGGCAGAUGGUUGACAUACCCUGCUAUAGGGAGGUCUAUAAAGCUUGGGGUGUACUGUCAAAUAAUCAAGGCAUAUUUUUGGGAGGAGGUGGAGUUUUUAUAAAAAUGUCAAUAAAAACUGUAUUUGGUCACUGUAGUAUAACUAUGUUAAAUAUUUUGCAGUUUGUGUGGAUGCCAUAUUCUGCAUCGGACGUUGCCGUUGUUAUUUCGCAGUGGAGUCAUGCACACUCAACCGUGUGGUGCAUCAACGCUUCGGUGUUGAAUUUCUUGAUUGUUAAGUGGUAUAAAGGCGAUCGAUUUCUUCAACAAUUUGAUUGCAAACAACGCUACAAGUAGGUUCGCACAAUCUUGAAUAGUAAAAAUAUUAUUUUUAAAAUGUUUAUACUCGAUUUUAGCUUAGAGUUUUUGUUCUCCUUACUCUAAAAAAAUUCAAAAAAUUCAUAAAAUUUCGAUAAAGUGUCUAAAUUCACAAAAAAAAAAUGAUCUCGGUAUUGUUAACAUAUGAAAGAAAAACUGAAAUUGGAGCCUAAACAGAAUCUAAAUUAUAAGAUUCGUUUAUAAAUAGAACAAAAUAGAGGAAGCGAUGCGUGGGAUAGACAGCUAAAGCGUUCAAAAACCAGGGAUAGAGUCCAAAAGUCCAAAACCACUUGACGCCCGUUUCCUAUAAGUGGAAAUAUAAUGCAGAAUAAUAAAAUAUUGGGUUCUAAAAAAAAAUAUCCCAUGAUUCAUUUUGUCGACUCUUUGCUGUUUCCCUCAGCCUCGUCUAUUCACUGAGUACAUAAUGCAGAAUAACAUGGUACUAUAGUUUUAUAAUGUUUGUCAACUUCAUCAUACCUCUUCACUCUACACGUCCCAAGAUUUCAAGAUUGAUUCCUGUGAAGAAUUAACAUUAUUAUAUUAAUAUCCUUAAAAUUUUAUUAUAUUAAUUAAAGGUAACAGACUUUAAAAGGGUUUUUUUAUAAAAAAAUAAAAAAAUAAUUAAAUUUUUAGUAAAGAGCGCACAUAAUUGAGUCCUUAUAGAUUAGUUUGAUUGUUAACAAAUGUUAAUGUGGUUGAUAGAAAUUGACUUGUAGCAUGUUAUGUGGAUAAGUAUGCUAAUGUAACAUAUAAUGUGAAAUAUAUUUAAAAAAAAUUUAAAAAUUACCAAAAUACGUAUACAUAGAAUGAAUCUAGACAAAUAAUUGUUCAAGUUCAUUUUAGAUAUGGCUCAGAAUAUUAUAAAAUUAUUAAAAAGAUGUACAAAUUAAUAAAAAUGAUCAAAGAAUUAAAACUUAUUGAAAUAAUUAUUAAAAAAUUUAAAAAGUUAAAAAAAUUAUAAAAAUUAGUUCAAAUAUUUAAAAGUAGCAUGUAAAAAGUAUUACUUUGAAAGCAAAAAGUUAAAUUUUUUUAAAUGGAAUUUUUAUUUUUAAUUUAAAUUAAUUCAAAUAUAUACUUUCAUAGAAAAAAGACAAAAAAUUUAGAAAGUAAGUUAGCAAUAAUUUUUACUCCUUUUUAGUAUAAAAAUAUUAUAUUUAACUUUUUAUUUUAUGAUAUUAUUUUUAACUAACAAAUAUAGAAAUAAUUAGGACUAAUCUUAAAUUUUAUUUGAUAUAUUUUGAGCUAAAAUUUAUGGCACCUUAGAUGAAAUUAUUAAAAUAUUGAAUAUUAACAUAAAUGCCAAAUUUUGAUUAUAUUUAUAUUUUUUUGAAAAAUUUAAAAUAGUUUUUUAUUUAUUUUUUUAAUAUUUUUUUCAAAACUAAUAUUUUUUAUAUUUUAAACCACGUUCGAAAUAAAGCAAGAUAAAUUAGUUGUCCAAGUUAGAAUUAACAUAGACAUUCUUUUGUCAAAGUUUUUUUUAAUAAUUUUUAAAAUAAUUUUUAAGACUUUAUGAAUUUUUAAAAUUUUUAGAAUUCUUAUAUUUAUUUGUAGUUUUUAAAUUUUUUUAAUAACUUUUAUAAUAUCUAGAGCCGCAUCUAGAAUGGAUAGUUAUCCAAGUUUAAAUAUAUGCUAACGUGCACAUUGCAUGUUAUGUGUCAGUCUCUAUCAAUCACAUUAACAUUUAUUAAUGAUUAAACUGGUCAAUGACGAUGUCUAAUUAACAGAAAGGCCUAAUUGAUCCUUUUUGUCACUAAGGGCUUGUAAAUGUUUAAAGUUAUUGAUUAAAUGCUUAAAUGUUGUAUUAAGAAUCAAACGUGAGUUGUUUUUAAGGAACUAGAUAAAAUUUAGAUAAUGACUAUUUCUUAGACUCUAUCUUGUUGAUUUUAAGGAACCGAGCUAAUCAAAUUUUUAAGGGAACUUAUGAUUUCGAAAAUGAGGAGAUAAAGUCUCAAUUUUGAAAGUUAACUUAUCUUCUUUCAAAAAAAGAAAAAAAAGCUGGGUAGAUUUUGGGGAGUGUUUAACUUGAGGAAUAUUUUGUGAGGUGUUUAGGACUUGUUAUUUUGGGGACUUGGGGAGUGUUUUUUCAAUUAAUAUUAGAGCAAAAUUUAAAUAUAUUUGAAGGGGAUCUUAAGUUUAAUUUGAUGUUAUGGAAUCUAUAAAAAAAGAUAGUUUAAUAAUUUGAACACCCAUAAUGAUUAGCUUGUCAAUUUAUACAUAUUGAACGGUUUAUACGAGGGCUUUCGUCAUUUUUAUAGGUGAAAGGAUUUAACUGCGAUAUUUAGUGGAAUUAAUAUGUAACAAUUCAAAAUCGUCUCUAUAUGAAUUAACUAAAGAAGUAUGGACAGUACUGCAAAACCAACAUGAAGGAAGGUUGUUGUUUGCGCUAAAAAACUUCGAAUUCUAACAACUAGGUUCAAUUUUUUUUUUUUUUUUGAAAUGAAUGAAAAUGAUAUUAUUUCCGAGUUUAUUCACAAUUAAAUGAAUUUUCUAAUGAACAUUUUUAUGUUGAUAAACAAUUUUCAAAUGAAAAAUUGAUAUACAAAGUGCUGUGAUGUUGCUAGAACGAUUUGGUAAUUAACUCACAACAAUUAAGGAGGCCAAAUACAUCACCACACACAGGCUGGAUGAACUUAUAAGUUCAUUUUGAAAUUUAGAAAACUCAAAUUUUUUUUUUUUUUUUUUAUCAAUUUUUGGCGUUCAAAAAUCACUUUUUCUCUUAAAAACGUUUUGUUUUCAUCUUAAAAGCGUUUUUUUUGACUUAAAAAUAAUUUUAUAAUUAAUUUUGUAAUUAAAUAAAAAAUAUAGAUACAUAAAAUGAUAAUGAUGAUGCAGGUAGAGCCUAGAUCUAGAAAGAACGAAUUUGUGUCAGUAGGGAAAUAAUAAAGGAAUCUAGCGCGUGAUUUCACACCAUUCUUGACUCCCAAGCACAUUUAUCACAGUAUCUAGUUUCCCAUAAAACAUCCCCCUUGCCUGAAUCAAGUUAAAAUAAUCAGUAAUAAAAUAGAAUAGAAAAUCCGAUCCAUAGAAAGUAGAAACCAAAACCCCCGGUCGAUCUCUCAACAAAAAAACCGCCCCCCGUAUUUCUUUCCCCUCACUUUCUUCCCUUUAAAAUCCGCUCCCAUUCUUUUGCACUUCACUUCAUCAUACACAUCAAUUUCUCGAUUACUUCGAAACUUAGAAAAGAGAGAGAGAAUCCACUCCUUUUUUUCCCUCUACAAUUUUCUUCGCGAAAUUUCGUAUUCUUUUCUCUGAAAUGGAUACCAAUAUUGGAUCACUUGACAGCUGCAAACCUACUUCCAACGACGUUUGCUGUCCGGCAAACGGUACCGUUUCUACCAUCCAAGGAUCCGUUUCCCCCACCAUCAUCAACUCCUCUGAAGCCACUUUGGGCCGCCACUUGGCUAGGCGGCUUGUGCAGGUCGGAAUAAGUGAUGUUUUCUCUGUUCCCGGGGAUUUCAACUUGACUUUGCUUGACCAUUUGAUAGCCGAGCCAGGGCUUAACCUCAUCGGCUGCUGUAACGAACUCAACGCUGGGUACGCAGCUGAUGGUUACGCUCGAUCACGUGGCGUUGGCGCUUGCGUUGUCACUUUCACCGUUGGUGGGCUCAGCGUUUUGAACGCCAUCGCCGGUGCUUACAGUGAGAAUCUCCCUCUUAUCUGCAUUGUGGGUGGACCCAACUCCAAUGACUAUGGAACUAACCGGAUUCUUCACCAUACUAUUGGCUUGCCUGAUUUUAGUCAAGAACUUAGAUGCUUCCAGACUGUUACUUGCUAUCAGGUUAUAUUCUCUCCUUUUCCCCAGUUUUUUUAAUAAUAUUGUUGUAAUUUUUUGUUUCAUCAGGAAGAUGAUAAAUAUGGGAUCUUUGGUUUUUGCUAGGCCGUGGUGAAUAACUUGGAGGAUGCUCAUGAAAUGAUCGACACAGCUAUUUCAACUGCUCUGAAAGAAAGCAAGCCUGUUUAUAUCAGCAUCAGCUGUAACCUGCCUGCAAUUCCUCACCCCACUUUUGACCGCGAGCCUGUUCCAUUUUCACUCUCUCCGAAGUAAAUUUUCUUUUCCUCUUUUCUGUUCACGUUCAAGAUUGUUCAGUGAUUAAUUUGCACGCCAAGUAAUUUUUUUCCCAUUUUCACUCUCUCCAAAGUAAUCUAUUUUUCCUCUUUUCUGUUCAACUUCAAGAUUGUUCAGCGAUUAAUUUUCACGCCAAGUAAUUCUUUUUUUCCGUAAUGGGUGUAGAUUAAGUAAUAAGAUUGGAUUAGAGGCGGCGGUGGAGGCAGCUGCAGAGUUCUUGAACAAGGCGGUCAAACCCGUUUUAGUCGGUGGACCAAAGCUGCGUGUUGCCAAGGCAUGCGAGGCUUUUGUUGAGUUGGCUGAUGCUAGUGGCUACGCCGUAGCGGUGAUGCCAUCGGGUAAAGGGCUUGUCCCUGAACAUCAUCCUCAUUUCAUUGGGACAUAUUGGGGAGCUGUUAGUACUGCAUUUUGCGCUGAGAUCGUUGAAUCUGCUGAUGCUUACUUAUUCGCUGGACCUAUUUACAAUGAUUAUAGCUCUGUUGGGUACUCUUUGCUUCUUAAGAAAGAGAAGGCGAUUAUUGUGCAGCCUGAUCGGGUGGUCAUUGGUAAUGGGCCUGCAUUUGGGUGUGUUUUGAUGAAAGACUUCCUUAGAGAGCUU